rnacentral:lncRNA from 1 species
UUGGUUGGGAAGUGGGAUUCGAGGAAGGUCAGUGUUUGGUCAUUUCUUAACUGCUCACGGUGGAUCUCUUCUUUUUGGACAGGGAUCAAGAAGGGGUAGCACAAGAGCCCGUUCCUCUUGAAGUCAAGGUCGUGCGAGGAUGGUCGAGAGGGGAGCAGACAAUCGUCAAGGUUUCUUCAUCCCCAACCAUUGACGCCACAGCCCCAACAUCGACUUCCUAAGUGAUGGCACUUGCAGGCCCG